GACGAACGCUGGCGGCGUGCUUAACACAUGCAAGUCGUACGGUAAGGCCCUUUCGGGGGUACACGAGUGGCGAACGGGUGAGUAACACGUGAGUAACCUGCCCACAACUUUGGGAUAACGCUAGGAAACUGGUGCUAAUACUGGAUAUGUGCUCCUGCUGCAUGGUGGGGGUUGGAAAGCUCCGGCGGUUGUGGAUGGACUCGCGGCCUAUCAGCUUGUUGGUGGGGUAGUGGCCUACCAAGGCGGCGACGGGUAGCCGGCCUGAGAGGGUGACCGGCCACAUUGGGACUUAGAGACGGCCCAGACUGCGACGGGAGGCAGCAGGGGGGAAUAUUGCACAAUGGGCGCAAGCCUGAUGCAGCAGCGCCGCGGGCGGGAUGACGGCCUUCGGGUUGUAGACCGCUUUCAGCAGGGACGAAGCUUUUUGUGACGGUACCUGCAGAAGAAGCACCGGCUAACUACGUG
rnacentral:rRNA from 1 species